UAGAUGUGUUGGUGUGGUUGGUACUGGUUGGGGAGCAUAUGCAGCCUGCAGACUAGCAUCAUAUGGAGAGGUUAAUGCUGGAGUUCUUCUGGAACCUUCUAUCAGCCAUGUUGUUGAGGCUCUUGCUGAGGAUCUUUACGAGAUAUAUGAGGAGGUAUCCUGUCCCCAGCUUGUGAUAACUGCUAGAAAUGAUUGUCCCAAUGAGAAGCUAAAUGGACUUGCAUACAGGGUUUUCCAGUAAGUAUACUAUG